GGACUACCGGGGUAUCUAAUCCUGUUUGCUCCCCUAGCUUUCGUGCCUCAGUGUCAGGAGUCGUCCAGGGACUCGCCUUCGCCACUGGUGUUCCUCUCGAUAUCUACGCAUUUCACUGCUACACCGAGAAUUCCAGUCCCCCCUCCGACCCUCUAGCGACGCAGUUUCCAAUGCAGUUUCGGAGUUAAGCUCCGAGAUUUCACAUCCGACUUACGCCACCACCUACGCACCCUUUACGCCCAGUGAAUCCGAACAACGCUUGGGACCUCUGUAUUACCGCGGCUGCUGGCAC
rnacentral:rRNA from 1 species